UGCAGUCGAGCGAAGCCUUCGGGCUUAGCGGCGGACGGGUGAGUAACGCGUGGGAACGUACCCUUCGGUGCGGAAUAGGCCCUGGAAACGGGGUUUAAUACCGCAUACGCCCUUUUGGGGAAAGAUUUAUCGCCGAAGGAUCGGCCCGCGUUGGAUUAGGUAGUUGGUGGGGUAACGGCCUACCAAGCCGACGAUCCAUAGCUGGUUUUAGAGGAUGAUCAGCCACACUGGGACUGAGACACGGCCCAGACUCCUACGGGAGGCAGCAGUGGGGAAUCUUAGACAAUGGGCGCAAGCCUGAUCUAGCCAUGCCGCGUGAGUGAUGAAGGUCUUAGGAUCGUAAAGCUCUUUCGCUGGGGAAGAUAAUGACGGUACCCAGUAAAGAAACCCCGGCUAACUCCGUGCCAGCAGCCGCGGUAAUACGGAGGGGGUUAGCGUUGUUCGGAAUUACUGGGCGUAAAGCGCGCGUAGGCGGACUGGAAAGUUGGGGGUGAAAUCCCGGGGCUCAACCUCGGAACUGCCUCCAAAACUAUCAGUCUAGAGUUCGAGAGAGGUGAGUGGAAUUCCGAGUGUAGAGGUGAAAUUCGUAGAUAUUCGGAGGAACACCAGUGGCGAAGGCGGCUCACUGGCUCGAUACUGACGCUGAGGUGCGAAAGUGUGGGGAGCAAACAGGAUUAGAUACCCUGGUAGUCCACACCGUAAACGAUGAAUGCCAGACGUCGGCGCGCAUGCGUGUCGGUGUCACACCUAACGGAUUAAGCAUUCCGCCUGGGGAGUACGGCCGCAAGGUUAAACUCAAAGGAAUUGACGGGGGCCCGCACAAGCGGGUGGAGCAUGUGGUUUAAUUCGAAGCAACGCGCAGAACCUUACCAACCCUUGACAUCCUCGGAUCGUCCCAGAGAUGGGUCUUUCACUUCGGUGACCGA
rnacentral:rRNA from 1 species